rnacentral:rRNA from 1 species
AGAGUUUGAUCAUGGCUCAGAGCGAACGUUAGCGGCGGGCCUAACACAUGCAAGUCGAACGAGAAUGUAGGCUUCGGUCUACUAGUAAAGUGGCGGACGGGUGCGUAACACGUGGGUAAUCUACCUUCCGGCGGGGGACAACAGUCCGAAAGGAUUGCUAAUACCGCAUACGUCAGCGGCGCCUACGGGCGCUGUUGGGAAAGACGGCCUCUCCUUGGAAGCUGUCACCGGAAGAUGAGCCCGCGUCCCAUCAGCUAGUUGGUGAGGUAACGGCUCACCAAGGCUUAGACGGGUAGCUGGUCUGAGAGGAUGAUCAGCCACACUGGGACUGCGACACGGCCCAGACUCCUACGGGAGGCAGCAGUGGGGAAUAUUGGGCAAUGGGCGAAAGCCUGACCCAGCCACGCCGCGUGAGUGAUGAAGGCCUUCGGGUCGUAAAGCUCUGUGGGGAGGGACGAACAAACUUGGGGCUAAUCACCCAGGUCCUGACGGUACCUCCUUAGCAAGCACCGGCUAACCCUGUGCCAGCAGCCGCGGUAAUACAGGGGGUGCAAACGUUGCUCGGAAUCAUUGGGCGUAAAGCGCACGUAGGCGGUUCGUUAUGUCGGAUGUGAAAGCCCUUGGCUUAACCGAGGAAGUGCAUCCGAAACUGGCGAGCUAGAGUACUAAAGAGGAUCGCGGAAUUCCCGGUGUAGAGGUGAAAUUCGUAGAUAUCGGGAGGAACACCGGUGGCGAAGGCGGCGAUCUGGGUAGAUACUGACGCUGAGGUGCGAAAGCGUGGGGAGCAAACAGGAUUAGAUACCCUAGUAGUCC